rnacentral:lncRNA from 1 species
UGAACCUCUAGGAGCAGUUAGCAUAUGAUACAGUCCCUCUAUCAUGAGUCCCGACCAGAUGGCAGGUCAUGGAUGAAUCGUCAAACCUCAUCAUCAGUCAUAUGAUAGAUUCAAUUAGCUCGAGUACAUAUAUGAUUCUCAUAGAAACUCUUUUCUAUUAAUCACACUGCUAUGGCCAUAGAUUUAAAGACUCAGCUUCUUAAAUCUCAUAGGACUACUCUUUUCUGCUAAGAUCGAUAGAUCCUAUCUAGGUGAACAUCCUACUCCUAC